GACGAACGCUGGCGGCGUGCCUAAUACAUGCAAGUCGAGCGGACAGAUGGGAGCUUGCUCCCUGAAAUCAGCGGCGGACGGGUGAGUAACACGUGGGCAACCUGCCUGUAAGACUGGGAUAACUUCGGGAAACCGGAGCUAAUACCGGAUACGUUCUUUUCUCGCAUGAGAGAAGAUGGAAAGAUGGUUUCGGCUAUCACUUACAGAUGGGCCCGCGGCGCAUUAGCUAGUUGGUGAGGUAAUGGCUCACCAAGGCGACGAUGCGUAGCCGACCUGAGAGGGUGAUCGGCCCCAAUGGGACUGAGACACGGCCCAGACUCACACGGGAGGCAGCAGUAGGGAAUCUUCCGCAAUGGACGAAAGUCUGACGGAGCAACGCCGCGUGAACGAUGAAGGCCUUCGGGUCGUAAAGUUCUGUUGUUAGGGAAGAACAAGUACCAGAGUAACUGCUGGUACCUUGACGGUACCUAACCAGAAAGCCACGGCUAACUACGUGCCAGCCGCCGCCGUAACAC
rnacentral:rRNA from 1 species